rnacentral:rRNA from 1 species
CCUACGGGGGGCAGCAGUGGGGAAUCUUGGGCAAUGGGCGCAAGCCUGACCCAGCAACGCCGCGUGAAGGAAGAAGGCUUUCGGGUUGUAAACUUCUUUUAUUGAGGACGAAACAAAUGACGGUACUCAAUGAAUAAGCCACGGCUAACUACGUGCCAGCAGCCGCGGUAAUACGUAGGUGGCAAGCGUGAUCCGGAUUUACUGGGUGUAAAGGGCGUGUAGGCGGGACGGCAAGUCAGAGGUGAAAACCAUGGGCUCAACCCAUGGGCUGCAUUUGAUACUGUACGGCUGGAGUGCAGGAGAGGUAAGUGGAAUGCCUGGUGUAGCGGUGAAAUGCGUAGAGAUUAGGAGGAACACCAGUGGCGAAGGCGGCUUACUGGACUGUAACUGACGUUGAGGCUCGAAAGCGUGGGGAGCAAACAGGAUUAGAUACCCGUGUAGUC